GGGAAAGAAGAGUCAUUCACUCUUGUAUCCAUCAUUCACUUAGCAAACAAUCGAGAGAGCAGCUCUACAUCAGCAUGGUACCAGGAAACACACAGAUGAAUUACACAGGCAGGGACAGCAACUGGAGAGGCUUCCAGAAACUCAGUCCUCAUCCAGAAUACUAGCACCAGCUUCAGAGUUCUCUGGGUCCAUGCUAGCUGAGCUUCUACCUCCCCGCCUCUCCAAUCCAAAAGAAAUCCAUUCCCUAGCAUUUUACUUCUUCCUCAGAGUCCCACCCCUGCCUCAGUCCUUGCCCCAGACCCACUACUCAAAUAUGCCAUGCUCCUCCCCUCUGGGCAGACCCUGGAGCACCUUCUGGACCACAGCUACAGCAGGAGGGAUUGGGGCUAGACAUUUUGAGCACCUUCCCAGUGGCAGAGAGCAGUGGUGCUGAGGAGCUGAGCAGAGGGCCAAGGAAGGGAUGUGAGCUUGAGUCCAGGCCCGAGAUCCUCAGCCUGACUUUGCAUCUUGCCGGGAGAGGCAUCAUUCAUCCACCCAGGGGUGGAGAUGGGGCAGGGGGAGGGGAACGAAAAACACCCACAGCCCAUUAACCUACUUUUGCAACUUCAUUAAAACAGAGUCUUCGACAUGUUGCCAUAAAUUGUCUUCUGAGGAGGAAGCCAGAUCUCAAGUUCUAGCAGUGAAGCUUCAGAGAAGAGGCUGGGAUAGCCAGAUGACAAGCUGAGGCCUACGAUGAUUUAGGCUGAGGAUACCAUCUGCCUGAGAGAACCCUCCUCUUGGAGUCUUGCUCCUCAAAAUGUGACUUCAGAGCCAGCAGCAUUGGCAUCCCUGGAAGCGUGGUACCAAUGCAUUCUUGGACCUCAACUCAGACCUAUUCAAUCCAACUCUCCAGUUUAGCAAGAUCCCCAGGUGAUUUUUAUGUACAUUAAAGUUUGAAAGCAAUACUCUAAAGAACCAGAAAUGCCAGACCAGGGUCCAACAGGGAAACUGAAUGCCUAAGACAUUCAUUCAUUCAUUUACCCAUUCAAUAAAUACUUAAUAAGCA
rnacentral:lncRNA from 1 species